CAGGCCUAACACAUGCAAGUCGAGCGGAGAUGAGGUGCUUGCACCUUAUCUUAGCGGCGGACGGGUGAGUAAUGCUUAGGAAUCUGCCUAUUAGUGGGGGACAACAUUUCGAAAGGAAUGCUAAUACCGCAUACGCCCUACGGGGGAAAGCAGGGGAUCUUCGGACCUUGCGCUAAUAGAUGAGCCUAAGUCGGAUUAGCUAGUUGGUGGGGUAAAGGCCUACCAAGGCGACGAUCUGUAGCGGGUCUGAGAGGAUGAUCCGCCACACUGGGACUGAGACACGGCCCAGACUCCUACGGGAGGCAGCAGUGGGGAAUAUUGGACAAUGGGGGGAACCCUGAUCCAGCCAUGCCGCGUGUGUGAAGAAGGCCUUUUGGUUGUAAAGCACUUUAAGCGAGGAGGAGGAGCUCUAGAUUAAUACUCUAGAUGCUUGGACGUUACUCGCAGAAUAAGCACCGGCUAACUCUGUGCCAGCAGCCGC
rnacentral:rRNA from 1 species